rnacentral:rRNA from 1 species
GAAUUGCGAAAAUUGAUGCGAAUCGCAGCCCGUGAGUCAUCGAGUUUUUGAACGCACAUUGCACCUUUUCCUUGAAAAAGGUAUGCCUGUUUGAGCUUCAGUUU